rnacentral:rRNA from 1 species
CAGCAGCCGCGGUAAUACGUAGGGUGCGAGCGUUAAUCGGAUUUACUGGGCGUAAAGCGUGCGCAGGCGGCCCGUUAAGACAGGUGUGAAAUCCCUGGGCUCAACCUAGGAAUUGCGCUUGUGACUGGCGGGCUCGAGUACGGUAGAGGGGGGUGGAAUUCCUGGUGUAGCAGUGAAAUGCGUAGAGAUCAGGAGAAACACCGAUGGCGAAGGCAGCCCCCUGGGCCUGUACUGACGCUCAUGCACGAAAGCGUGGGGAGCAAACAGGAUUAGAUACCCUGGUAGUCCACGCCCUAAACGAUGGGUACUAGCCGUUUGGUGCGCGAUAGCGCUGAGUGGCGAAGCUAACGCGUGAAGUACCCCGCCUGGGGAGUACGGCCGCAAGGUUGAAACUUAAAGGAAUUGGCGGG